rnacentral:rRNA from 1 species
AUUGAACGCUGGCGGCAGGCCUAACACAUGCAAGUCGAGCGGAUGAGAAGAGCUUGCUCUUCGAUUCAGCGGCGGACGGGUGAGUAAUGCCUAGGAAUCUGCCUGGUAGUGGGGGACAACGUUUCGAAAGGAACGCUAAUACCGCAUACGUCCUACGGGAGAAAGCAGGGGACCUUCGGGUCUUGCGCUAUCAGAUGAGCCUAGGUCGGAUUAGCUAGUUGGUGAGGUAAUGGCUCACCAAGGCGACGAUCCGUAACUGGUCUGAGAGGAUGAUCAGUCACACUGGAACUGAGACAAGGUCCAGACUCCUACGGGAGGCAGCAGUGGGGAAUAUUGGACAAUGGGCGAAAGCCUGAUCCAGCCAUGCCGCGUGUGUGAAGAAGGUCUUCGGAUUGUAAAGCACUUUAAGUUGGGAGGAAGGGCAGUAAGUUAAUACCUUGCUGUUUUGACGUUACCGACAGAAUAAGCACCGGCUAACUCUGUGCCAGCCGCCGCAGUAAUAC